UAGUGGCGAACGGGUGAGUAACACGUGGGCAAUCUGCCCUUCACUCUGGGACAAGCCCUGGAAACGGGGUCUAAUACCGGAUAACACUGCGGAUCGCAUGGUCUGCGGUUAAAAGCUCCGGCGGUGAAGGAUGAGCCCGCGGCCUAUCAGCUUGUUGGUGAGGUAGUGGCUCACCAAGGCGACGACGGGUAGCCGGCCUGAGAGGGCGACCGGCCACACUGGGACUGAGACACGGCCCAGACUCCUACGGGAGGCCUGCAGUGGGGAAUAUUGCACAAUGGGCGAAAGCCUGAUGCAGCGACGCCGCGUGAGGGAUGACGGCCUUCGGGUUGUAAACCUCUUUCAGCAGGGAAGAAGCGAAAGUGACGGUACCUGCAGAAGAAGCGCCGGCUAACUACGUGCCAGCAGCCGCGGUAAUACGUAGGGCGCAAGCGUUGUCCGGAAUUAUUGGGCGUAAAGAGCUCGUAGGCGGCUUGUCACGUCGAUUGUGAAAGCCCGAGGCUUAACCUCGGGUCUGCAGUCGAUACGGGCUAGCUAGAGUGUGGUAGGGGAGAUCGGAAUUCCU
rnacentral:rRNA from 1 species